AUGAACGCUGGCGGCGUGCCUCAUACAUGCAAGUCGAACGCAUAGCGAAAGGUGCUUGCCCCUUUCAAGUGAGUGGCGAACGGGUGAGUAACACGUGGACAACCUGCCUCAAGGCUGGGGAUAACAUUUGGAAACAGAUGCUAAUACCGAAUAAAACUUAGUGUCGCAUGACACAAAGUUAAAAGGCGCUUCGGCGUCACCUAGAGAUGGAUCCGCGGUGCAUUAGUUAGUUGGUGGGGUAAAGGCCUACCAAGACAAUGAUGCAUAGCCGAGUUGAGAGACUGAUCGGCCACAUUGGGACUGAGACACGGCCCAAACUCCUACGGGAGGCUGCAGUAGGGAAUCUUCCACAAUGGGCGAAAGCCUGAUGGAGCAACGCCGCGUGUGUGAUGAAGGCUUUCGGGUCGUAAAGCACUGUUGUAUGGGAAGAACAGCUAGAAUAGGAAAUGAUUUUAGUUUGACGGUACCAUACCAGAAAGGGACGGCUAAAUACGUG
rnacentral:rRNA from 1 species